rnacentral:rRNA from 1 species
GACGAACGCUGGCGGCGUGCCUAAUACAUGCAAGUCGAACGAACCGCGACUAAGUGCUUGCACUAAGUCAAGGUGAGUGGCGAACGGGUGAGUAACACGUGGGUAACCUACCUCAUAGUGGGGGAUAACAGUCGGAAACGACUGCUAAUACCGCAUAGGACAUAGGAUCACAUGAUCCAGUGAGGAAAGGUGGCGCAAGCUAUCGCUAAGAGAUGGACCCGCGGUGCAUUAGCUAGUUGGUAGGGUAGAGGCCUACCAAGGCGAUGAUGCAUAGCCGACCUGAGAGGGUGAUCGGCCACAUUGGGACUGAGACACGGCCCAAACUCCUACGGGAGGCAGCAGUAGGGAAUCUUCCGCAAUGGACGCAAGUCUGACGGAGCAACGCCGCGUGAGUGAAGAAGGUCUUCGGAUCGUAAAGCUCUGUUGUUAGAGAAGAACAGCGCAUAGAGUAACUGCUAUGCGUGUGACGGUAUCUAACCAGAAAGCCACGGCUAACUACGUG